rnacentral:rRNA from 1 species
AUUAAUACGAUUGUUCUAAGCAUAAUGUUAUUAAGAAUAUUUAAAUAAAAUAAGUAUAAGUUAUUGUAAAUUUAAUUGAUAAGAUUUUUUAAACUAUAGUUAAUUAGUACCGUGAGGGAAAUUGGUUUAUAAUUAUAAAAAGGUGAUUUUAAUAAUUGUUUCUUGUGUAUCAGAAUAUAUUAAGAUAAAUUAUUAAAUUUUUUUUCUCGAAUUUAAAAGAUUUAAUUAAGAGAUUUAUUUAAUGUGUCAAAAUUAUUAAGAAUUCUUAAUUGGUAAUGAAAUGUUAAUCGUUUUUAAGUAUAUCUAGUUUUUUAAUAAAUGAAUUUAAUUCAUAAAAUGUAAAUUAUUAUAUAAUUACUUAUUUUAAUUUCUUAUGUUUUAAACUUUUAGGGGGUAUAUCUCUUAAAAGUAUAAUUAUAAUAAGUUAGUUGUGAAGAAUUUUAUAAAUUUAGAAUUUGUUAUUAAUUAAAGUAUGUUAAAAUUUAGUUCUUAAAAUUUUUAAUUUAUUAUUUAUUUAAUUUAUUUAUUAAAAUGUGAAUUGGAAUUUAAGUUUUUAAGGAGUAAUGAUUUAAUUAGUAAAAAAAAUGUAAAUUAUAUAAAUUAAUUGGUAUGUUUAUUUAAGGAAUUUGGCAAGCAUUUUGCCUGCCUGUUUAAUAAAAACAUGGUUUCUUGUUUAUAUAGGAAAUUUGGCCUGCCCACUGAUUAUAUUAAAGGGCCGCAGUAUACUGACUGUGCAAAGGUAGCAUAAUCAUUAGUCUUUUAAUUGAAGACUGGUAUGAAUGGUCGGACAAGGUAAAUACUGUCUUUUAUAAAUUUUUGUUGAAUUUAUGUUUUAAGUAAAAAAACUUAAAUGAAAUUAAGGGACGAGAAGACCCUAUAGAGUUUAAUAAAUAUAAUUGUAAUUAAGUUUAUAUAAAAUUUUUGAUUAUAAAAAAAAUUUAUUUAAUUGGGGCGAUUAGAGGAUAUAAUAAACUCUUCUUAAAGUUAAAUAUUUUGUGUAAAUUUAAGAUCCAUAUAUAAUGAUUAAAAGAUUAAAUUACCUUAGGGAUAACAGCAUUAUCUUUUUUGAGAGUUCAAAUUGAGAAAAGGGAUUGUGACCUCGAUGUUGGAUUAAGAUAAAUAUUGGGUGUAGAUGUUCAAUAAUUAAGUCUGUUCGACUUUUAAAAUCUUACAUGAUCUGAGUUUAAACCGGUGUGAGCCAGGUUGGUUUCUAUCUUUAGUAAGGUGAAUUAUUUUAGUACGAGAGGACCAAAUAAUUGAAAUAAUUUUUUUUAGUAAUGAAUUUCAUUAAAU